GGUUAGACAUGUAAUGAUGAAUUAAGCAUUUCAUAAUUCCACAGGUGGUGUUGUUGACAGAAACAUUGUAAGCAGAGAAGGUGAAUCAAUCCAUGGAGUAUCCCUAUCACACUGGAUGAAGUUUACAGACUUCUUCAAGGUCACUGGGCGCUGGAUGCCACUACCAGAUGCUUUCGUGUUGGGGCCACUCAGCCCUCUCCCAGAAGCUUACCAGGGACAGAUCGUGAACGUAA
rnacentral:lncRNA from 1 species